rnacentral:rRNA from 1 species
UGAGGAAUAUUGGACAAUGGGCGCAAGCCUGAUCCAGCCAUGCCGCGUGCAGGAUGACGGUCCUAUGGAUUGUAAACUGCUUUUAUACGGGAAGAAACCCUGGCUCGUGAGCCAGAUUGACGGUACCGUAGGAAUAAGGAUCGGCUAACUCCGUGCCAGCAGCCGCGGUAAUACGGAGGAUCCAAGCGUUAUCCGGAAUCAUUGGGUUUAAAGGGUCCGUAGGCGGUUUUAUAAGUCAGUGGUGAAAUCCGGUAGCUCAACUAUCGAACUGCCAUUGAUACUGUAGAACUUGAAUUAUUGUGAAGUAACUAGAAUAUGUAGUGUAGCGGUGAAAUGCUUAGAUAUUACAUGGAAUACCAAUUGCGAAGGCAGGUUACUAACAAUACAUUGACGCUGAUGGACGAAAGCGUGGGGAGCGAACAGGAUUAGAUACCCUGGUAGUCCACGCCGUAAACGAUGGAUACUAGCUGUUUGGUAGCAAUACUGAGUGGCUAAGCGAAAGUGAUAAGUAUCCCACCUGGGGAGUACGAACGCAAGUUUGA